rnacentral:misc_RNA from 1 species
UGGUGUAAGUUUGAGAGCAUUCUCAUAUUGCUCCAGAGCACCCACAUAAUCCUUAGCCUGAAACCUUUUGUUCCCCUCUUCUUUCAGCUCAUGGGCUCUUUUUGAGAAAAUUGAUGAGUCCAAAUCAACACUACCAUUAACAACAGGUGAAUGGCUGUUCCCUACAGCCCCUUGGUUUUGGUUUUGGUUUUGACUAAUACCCGCCUUCUUUUUCCUACCACCUGAUUUCCCCAUGA